AAAGGAACCCCAAGACAAUAGAGGAAGCAGCUGGUUUAGCUGAUAAAAUAAAUGAAAUCAGAGUCCAUGGAUUUGAUGGGCCAAAAUUUGGUGGGAGAUAUUGGGAAACAAACAAGAAUAAAUUUCAGCAAACCAAAGGAAAGAUUACCUCAGAAACCGAUAAGAGAAGCAGCCCCUCAUCAAAAAGCCCACAUGAGAAGGCACACACCCAUACAGAAUUUACUGAGGGAAAAGUCAAUAAAACAAGUUAUUCAGGACCCAAAGACAUUUCAUGCUGGAGAUGUGGAAAAUUAGGUCAUAAAAGGUUUGAUUGUAAACUAGGAAAAGAAACAUCUAGUUAUAGCACCACACAGAAACGGACAUAUUGUAUGCAGCCUGUGGAGCAGGGCCCAACUAGUCAGGUUGUCAAGGAAACAGACAUGCCAACUAGGCCCGAGCCUGCUGAGGUAGUAGAGGCCAAAGUCCCGCACUGUUUUGCGAUUCAACAAGAUAAUCUCUUGUUGAAGAACGCUGGAGAGUAUAUCUGGAUAGACGGAAAAAGAUCUCUCAGGUUAAAGGACACGGGAUCACAAGUCACUAUAGUCCACCCAGAGAUAAUCAAGGAUGAGGCCAUAAUUCCAGGAAAAGUAAUGAAAUUAAAAGGAAUUUUGAAACAAGCAGAGAUCCUGAAGGUGGCGGAAAUAGAUGUCAGGUUCAAAAUCUGGGCAGGGAAGUGGCAGGUAGCCCUUUCGGAAGAAAUUCCCGCCCCUGUGCUCAUUGGUUGGGACAUUUUAGAACAUGUGCAGAGUACUUUCAUAGUUACCAGAGCAAAAGGGAGCCCACAGUCACCUAAUCCUGAGGGGGUGGAUACAGUAGCAGAGGCAGACAAUGCUGAAGGACAGCAAGGGGAUGAUCAGUAUGAGGAAAGAAAAAACACCUUUUUGUUUCCUUUGACUGAAACUCAAACCCCAAGUUUUGCCAAAAAGCAAAAAGAAGAUAUUGAGUUACAAAGGUACUUUGAGGCAGCCGAGUCGGAGAGGCCAUUAACUCCAGAGUGCCCAGAACGGUUUUGUUUGAGCAGGGACCUUUUAUAUCGAGAAGUCCUUGUCCCACCAUGUGGGGGGGGGGGUGAAGAAGUGAGAAGACAGUUAGUAAUCCCACAUGAAUACCGAGGCAAAAUCCUGCAACACGCCCCCAAUAGUGUAUUUGGAGCGCAUAUGGGUAUUAUACGCACAAAACGGAGAGUGGCUCAAAAUUUUUAUUGGCCAGGCAUGGGGAAACAAAUAAAACAAUACUGUCAAGCCUGUGACAUAUGUCAGAGAAGAGGCAAAACAAAAGCCAAAUUGUGCCCCUUGCCUAUCAUAUCAACCCCUUUUCAACGAUUAGGGCUGGACCUGAUAGGGCCAUUGCCUAGAGCCAGCAGGCGGGGAAACAGAUACAUCCUCACCAUAGUGGAUUACGCAACCAAAUAUCCAGAAGCCAUUCCGUUGCAAAACAUUGAAACGGAAACUGUGGCAACUGCUUUAAUUAACUAUAUGAGUAGAUUGGGCUUUGCCAGUGAAAUAGUCACCGACUUGGGUUCUUCUUUCACAUCAAGACUAAUGAAAAGACUAUGGGAGGUGUGUGGUAUUAAGCAUUUAACAUCAACACCUUAGUGGUGUACGGGUCAAUAGUCAUUGAGACGACCGGGGGCUCCGUACGAAUGCCACACUUGGUUCUCCUGUGAGGGUAAAGGAGGAUCCUGAGAGAUCCAGUGCCACUGGGCAACCUUUAGCCCAGAGAUUUUUCCUUUGCUGUCCCUUUUCUUCAUGGGCGGUAAUCAACUGUCACCCGGAAGACCCAGCCAAGGGAGCAAAGGCAAGAUACGACUGGUCAACAGAGGAUCCCAGGAUCCACAGGAUGACGUGAGUAUGGUUAAAAGCAGUACACUGACAAGAAGGUUGAAGGUAGUGAGUCACUACAGCAACCAAAAUUAUUUCUUUCCUCUCCUUUACCUGACUCUACCCGACACUGGGGUUCUGUUUACAAACCUGAUUGCUCGGAAAGGGAGGCUUUGACCAAAGAGGGUUAUGGGGUGUUCAACCAGGGAGGGGUUCUGAACUCUAUCUCUGUUCAUUCUCUUACUCAGCUGCCCUGAAGUGGGAUGCUUCAGAUGCAAGGGAGUAAGUUUCUUCUUCAUCUUCCCUUUUUAUCUGAUCAAGUUUAGCUGCCCCUGCUGCUCAGCGAUCCCCUGUUGGGGAGAUACCCGGGUAUGUCAGAAAGCAAAGAAACUUGUUCCUUUACAAACAGCUAUCUUGCGUGACCUGAUCUGGCACUGAGCUGUGCAGGCAUUCAGUAAGGAGACUUUUCACUAGAUUAUGGUGCCAGGCAGGAGGUUGCUGUGGGUAGUAGGGUGGGAGGUCCACUGACAGAAGAUGGAGCACCACACCAGGAGUCAGUUAGGAUGGAAAACUGGUUAAUGAAUGAUGCUGGGUGAGUGGGAGGCUUUCAGUUGUGUUUGCGGGCAGGAAGCUUGUGGAAUUUGUGGGUGGGAAGCCCAUGGGAAUGCAGGUUGCUUAGAUAGGAAGGCGUGGGCAAGAGAUCUACAGAAGGAUACGGGCGAGAGGCCUGGAGAAAGCAAAUUGUUUAAUAGCAUUUUUUUCUUUUUAUUUGUUUGUUUGUUUGUGCAUGUUAUUGUGUGCAGAUGAGGCUAGAAGACACUCUAUUUAUGCUUCUUAAAUUGAUGGGUAGCCAUUCUUCCAGACAUAGCAGAUGGACUCCCCUUGGCAGGAAUUCUUCUGGCAAGCCUUCCCACAACCAAGAGGACCCUGAUUCCCUCCUCCAGCUUGUGUUAUCCAACUGGAGGGGAUUGACAGGAUGUGAAAACCUAUCAAAGUAAAAGCUGAAAUACCUCUGUGAGGGCCCAUGUGUGGCUUAUAUCCAUCACCUGGAACCCAGAACACAGUGUCCACCUCAGGGAUCCUUCAACGAAGUUAGGGUGCGAACCCUUAGAAAAUAUUUAGAAGAUCAAAAGCCUCGGCAACUAGACUACUUAGUCGUGUUUGCAGAAGGCCUUUAACACAGUGCAUGCAAGAGGAAAAUAAGUGUGAAACAGUUUGUACUAAAGUAUUAGGUAAAGUGGUUAUUACACGCAUUGGAGGGUUGCAGCAUGUAAGUUUAAAGUCACCUACAAUUUAACCAUUCCUAAUCCCUACCUAUAGUCCACCAUUCAUUCAGUUUAAAGAGUAAUCUCCACUGAGCAUUAUAGGGUUGAGAAUGCAUGCACCAGACUUCACUGUAUAUUUCCAGCUGGCCUUACUGCAUAGCCUUUUAGAAUCACAGAUUUGUAUAGUUGGAAAGGACUCCCAGGGUCAUCUAGUCCAACCCCCUGCAAUGCAGGAAUCUCAGAUAAAGUGUCCAUGUCAGAUGGCCAUCCAACAUCGGCUUAAAAAUCUCCAAUGAAGAAGAGUCCACAACCCUUACAAUGGACAGUGAACUAUAUUCUACAGAUAGCUGAAAAGAGGCCAACUUACACUUAUACAGUACUUAAGAAGGGACAAAUUUAGUAAAAAAAAUAUUGACUGAUUUUAUUAUUGAAUAAUGAUUAUAAGUUAUUUGCAAUCUUUUUGUCAUAAAGAUUUUUUUUAAUUACAAGACCUUAUGAAUGACAAAUGAUUUUUACCAAAAAGACCAUUAAGAGAUAAUGUCAGAAACGUAUAUUUGAAUUGUAACAGUGAGAAGCAUAUUAGAGGUUACAACCCACGCACUUCUGCUGCGCUUUUCUGCUUGUGUGGUGGCACCUCAGUAAAACCAUUUCUUACUGUUUGUAGCAGAGUUUUCCCCGGAGGCAGAGGAAAAGAACAAGAGUCAUACUCAAAUUCACAGUCAAGAACUUCUAUAUUGCUUGACUGGUUGCACAAGCAUUUCUAUUACUAUUAUAUACAAGCUGUUUACAUUCCUUCUUUAUCUCUCCAGCACGGUAUAAUCUCUGUCCAAUAAAUAACAAUCCUGACACAGCAAAACUCAUAGUAUCAGCAGCACACAUUGUAUUACUGCCAACCUUGUUAUGAGCAUGCAUGGUGACAGCAUGUGUGUGUGUGUGCUUUUGUCAUGCAGAAAUUGCAGCCUGCAACUUCCUCCCUUUAUUUGCACCUCCAGCUGACACCAA
rnacentral:lncRNA from 1 species